rnacentral:lncRNA from 1 species
GGGACAUCCACUUUGCGGUAGGAAUACGUGUUGGCCGUGCUGAGGCGCACCAGGCGCUCCCCGUAGGCAGCCAGCAGCUUCUGGCGGGUGCAGAGGGCCUGGAAAGCCGAGUUGUCGGUGACCCCGCGGAGGACGACGGGCCGGGAGAAGGCGAACCGCUGCAGGAAUUGCGCGGGGCUCACGGAGCCGUCGGUUCUGUCCACCGUGCACCGCUGCUCCUCCGGCACAUCGCCCG